CGAUCAAGUUGGGCAAUUGCCGCCCGCCCAAGGCGGGUGGAGGAAAGUCCGAACUCCACAGAGCAAAGUGCCGGAUAACGUCCGGGCAUCAAUUUUUUGAUGACGGAAAGUACCACAGAAAAUAUACCACCUCGAUGUAAGUCGAGGAAAGGGUGAAAUGGCAGGGUAAGAGCCUACCGCUCUAAAAGUAAUUUUAGAGGUUCCAGAAUUGGAAGUGACUCCCGACUUGUCGGGAGCCAUCAAGGCAAACCCCACUUGGAGAAAGGUCAAAUAGGAAAGUUCCGUCCCGAUUUCGAUUGGGAUGGCAAGGCUGCUCGCUUUGUUUAGCUUUCGGGUAGACCGAUCGAGGGUUGAAGUAAUUCAACUCCCAGACAAAUAAUUGCCGUGACGCUUUUGGCGUCAUUACAAAAUUCGGCUUAUAGACUUGAUCGUUUA
rnacentral:RNase_P_RNA from 1 species